UGGGCUAAAGAACAUCUAUUCGACAAAUUUAAAUGAAAUAUAUUCAUAUUAAAUUUGAUAAAAAAACUAAACGGUAGUAAAAGUUCUUCACAAAGACGACGUGCGGGGGAGGGAUCUAUCGGCUAAAUUGCAAAAUUUAUGAUGAGUAAAAAACACAAGCUCACUUCAGAAAGUAAACUUUGCAUCCAAGAAGCUGGUGGAGGAAUACCUCUGGACGUCCAAACAAUCAAGAUUUUGGAAACAAAAAAUAUUGAAAAUAUACAUUCAACUAACAUCUUAAAUGAAUUUGAACAAAGGCAUAAGACGAUAGAUCCCUCCCCCUUCAAAAUUGCUAUUGAUUCACUUCGUAAGAAGUAUACAACUACUGGGUAAGUAUUACAAUCUGCCCACAU